UACAGGACAGUGGCGGAUGGGUGAGUAACGCGUAAGAAACCUGCCUUUCACACCGGGAUAGCAGCUGGAAACGGCUAUUAAUACCGGAUGACACUUUUUCCCCGCAUGAGGAAGAGGUUAAAGAAUUUCGGUGAAAGAUGGUCUUGCGUCUGAUUAGCUAGUUGGUGGGGUAACGGCCUACCAAGGCGACGAUCAGUAGCCGGCCUGAGAGGGUGUACGGCCACAUUGGGACUGAGACACGGCCCAAACUCCUACGGGAGGCAGCAGUGGGGAAUUUUGCACAAUGGAGGAAACUCUGAUGCAGCGACGCCGCGUGAACGAAGAAGGUCUUCGGAUUGUAAAGUUCUGUCCUGGGUGAAGAUAAUGACGGUAACUCAGGAGGAAGCCCCGGCUAACUACGUGCCAGCAGCCGCGGUAAUACGUAGGGGGCGAGCGUUGUUCGGAAUUAUUGGGCGUAAAGGGUACGUAGGCGGUUUGUUAAGUUUGGCGUUAAAUCACGGGGCUCAACCCCGUUCAGCGUUGAAAACUGGCAAACUUGAGUAGUAGAGGGGACAGUGGAUUCCUAGUGUAGCGGUGAAUGCGUAGAGAUUAGGAAGAGUA
rnacentral:rRNA from 1 species